CAACAACGCGCUCGGCUGCUGCCGGAGACUUUGUUUCUUCCGUUGUGCAUAUCGCCUCUUGCACCGCCGCUGCCGCCCCCUCUCUCCUUAGCUCCAGACACACAGAGGCGGUCACGCGUCAACGAGCGCGGUCCCUUCGCUUUCCAUCGCGUCAGACCGACACACCAAGCACGAUGUCCGCGCCAGCGACUGCAGCCACCCCGCCCAUCGCCAGUGGCAGUGGUAAUGGCACUAUUAGUGGUAAUCAAGAGGUGAACCCGCGUGCACGAGACCCUCACUCCUCGCAGUCUCACCACGCCGAACACGCUGGAGGAUCGCCACGCCGCAGCAAGAGCUGCGUCAGCAUGCAUGCCAGCACUGCAGGCGGCACGGCUCACCGCCAGGUGAUCGGCAACUACGAACUCGGCCGCGUCCUCGCCACGGGUGACUUCGACUGUCGCACGCGUCUGUGCAGGCACAUCACCACCGGUGUGCGGUAUGUGGUGCGCGUGUACGACAAGCGCGUGCUGGCGGAGGCGCAAUGGAUGUGGAACCGUGUGGCGGAGUCGAUCCGGGUGCAGCGCACCCUGCCCAAAAACAAGUAUGUGCUGGAGAUGGUCGAGUGUUUCGAGUCGAACACAUCCGUGUACAUGCUGAUGCAUCUGUUUCCGUCCAUAAACAUCACAAAACUCUUCACGGACUCAGCAGCACGUGCAAAACUCCUGUGUUGCCUGCAGGCCAUGUCGCGAGCCAAUGCUCAUACUUCUGCCGCGGCGACCUCGAAUGGCUCACUGACAACGGAGCCAGAGAAAACGGCGAAGGGAGAACCUCACCGGAAGCCGAGCCACGUGCAUGCGCUGCCGGCCACCGAUCCGACGAGCGCACCCAAAAGCGUCUUGUCGCGCGGGCUGAAGACGAGCAUGCGGACCCCCAGUGCAUCUGCAGCGGAGUCGCAGCCGUCGGAGCAUGGCACCGAGGAGACGGCUGAUGCGAAUGAAUUCUCUCACCGCGGCGGGGGCAAGCAAGAGAGUACCCCCAGCACCGCCGCCUCGACGAUGGGCGGCGCUAGCACCUCGCCGAUGGCAGUGGCCUCUGUCAACGCCUUCCUUGGCACGGCGGUGCCGUCGCACGUGCCGCUGUCGCUCAUUCGCGACCUCUUCGAGCAAGCCGUGAAGGGUGUGUCGCACCUGCACCAAUACAACGUGGCCCAUACUGGCAUCGCUCCUGAUCACCUCCUGGUGGGGGCCAAUGGUCUGCUGCGUAUCAGCAAUAUGGUUUCGUGUUGUUUCUGUGCGCAAGGUGAACGGCUGCAUGAACUCCGCGGCACGCGGCACACCGUCGCUCCGGAGGUGCUGCGGGGCGAGUCCUACGACCCCUACCUCGCCGAUGCCUGGGCUCUCGGUGUCGUCCUGUACUUUAUGCUGAACCGUGGUCGCUACCCACACGACGGCGCGAGUACCCUUCGACACAUUCUCCACGGCCGAGUGCGGCCCUCACGGCCUGGGCUGCCGCCCGUCGCACUGGACCUCGUCUCCCGCCUACUGCAGGGCUCCCCAGAAGAGCGGCUGCCGGUCGAUGCCAUCCUCACCCAUCCCUUCUUCUUAGCGCCUUUACCAACCAUUGCCGAAGAAGCAGCAGCGGAGGCGGCGGAGCUGCAGGCGCAGCACGUGCGCCACAGACUCAUCACCGGUGCGGCUGUCCAUGGCGGGCACAGCGUUGUGAGCGACAGAGACGACCUAAACGGGCGUCGACUGCGAAGCAAAGAGAAAGCGGUCGGCGCCGGCAGGCGGGAAGCAUCAUCGCCGCACUGGGAGUCACUCGUGACCUUUGGGAGUGGCGACAGCAUCACUGGCAGAGAUGAGGUGGACAGUUCGGGGCUCAACCCUCAACACAACGGCGACGACGACGCAUCCGCAGCAAAAGACGGCUCGAAACGGAGCUGCAGAGACACGGUCUGCCCGCCGCGAGCCGGUCUUCCCACGCACCAGCCUUCUGCUGCGUCGCGGUCCCCGUCGGCGUCCAUGAAACGUGCGCACCUCGCCGCGUCCUCCCUCGCCAGGACGAGCCCGUGCCAAUCGGUGGCGGGGUCAGUGUCGGCAUCGACCCGCCCCGUCUGGUGCCCCCAUCUGGCGCCGACGCUGGACGCUCUGGAAGACCUCGCAGGACGUGUAAUUCAGUACCACUACCGCCAAAUGAAGCGCCGCCAGCAGUAUCGAGCCGAGACCCGUACGCUGGUGGCGCGCAGUCAGAGCAUGCGUCGAGCAAAGGUGGAAGAAGAGGGCAUCGGCGGCCAACAACAGCCCUUGCUGAGUCUAGUCCCCGCCGUCGUUGUCCUAUCCAGGCCGCCGAGUCUUGACCUGGUACCGUCGUCUGCAGGCACGGUAACGCCGAAGCGGGACGAGGUGCUUCAUCGGCAACGGCAGCGACAGCAGCAACCGAGCGACUUGUAUCUGAAGCGGAAGCCGGUGAUGGCGGCGAAUGUGUUGGAUGCUGCGGCAGGCUCGCAGUCGCCAAGCUCCGCCCGCCGUCGGGCUUCGACGAACAACAGUGUUGACACGGGUGGUCCUUUGGAGGACGAGCCGCUGUCCCACUGGCACAAGUCCGGCACGGCUUCUCCAGCUUCGACGAUCCAGUCCGUGCUUGUGACAGGGGCAAACAGCGUUGUCAUCGGUACCCGCGCAGGCUCACCCGGCAGCCUCGACCGCGACGAUGACGACACCGAGAGCAGCCUCAUCAGCAGCCUCGACGGUGCGCUGCGCGCAAACGUAGCCGAGGGCACCAAUACUGUCGCCUCCCUCGACACAACCCCGCAAGAGUCGCUGAAGCUCCCUGUACCCCUUCCACUCAAUCAGCGCAGGCCCGGCAGCAGCGUUCGGGCAUGCAAUACCCCAGCCAACAGCGUUUUCAUAGCACCGCCCCCGCUUCGCCCCUCUUCCAACUCCAGCGUGCUGCCUACGCUAGCGUCGCUCCACGGCUUGGGCAGCAGUGUCGGUCGCUUCGCCGAUCGCGCGCGCGUGGGGGAGGGAAUGAUGGUGAAGGAUGAUGAGAGGUGCCCGCUGUGCCACCGCGAGCCCUACAUGACGCGGGCUAUUGGCGUUCGCCCAUACGGGGGCACCUCGUACGUCUACGCCGAUGGCAGAUUUACGAAGGUGUCGUCGGUGUGAGGUGGAGUGAGGGCUAGCGCUGCGCGAGCGUGCGUGUAUAUGCGGGGUGAGAGGCCGAUGAACACAUCGCCAACUUGGUUCUCCACUUCCUCCCCUCACAACGCAGCUCGACCAGUGCGCUCCGGCAGACCCGUCACCAGGCCCCCCCACCUCUCACCUCACCCUACCAGACUACCAACGCGAAUGCUGCUACCGCGCAACGUCGUCACACGACGGCUUCUCCCUAAUUCUUUAUCGCGAACUCUUCCGUCACACGCUGUCGUUCGUGACGCUGCUGUUGCUCAUUCGGCUGCGCGACGGAAGCUCCCCUCCUGCGUUUGUGUAUGUGUGUGUGUGUGCGUGUGUGCUCCAGAUCUGAUGUAUUCAACUGCCUCUCUUCACUAAUUCCUGUGUCUGUAUCUCUGUGUGUGUGUGUGUAAGCCCACUUACUUGGAACAUAUCCCCCUCCCCCUCCCCCUCCCCCUCCUCCUCCUCCCAUCCCCUGCUUCGUGUUGCUUUUCGGCUUGGCCAACGUGUGUUACCCCUUCACAGCUUUUCCUGUAUGUACAUAUCUUGUGCAUGGUUCAUGUGUGCGUGUGUGUGUCCCUAUCCUUGCGUGCGUGCAAGGUGGUCAGCACCUGUAUGUGUCUAUGGAAGUCGAGCGACCCCACGCCCGAUCGC
rnacentral:misc_RNA from 1 species